CUGAGAGCCGCGGCGGCCGUUUCGCGGCGCGAGCGCUCUGAGUUCAGAGCCCGCUCGCGCAUGCGCAAUAACGGCCGCUCGGCACUGCGGCCAUUUCCAGUAAGCCGGCCGUGCUUUGCCGCGCUUUUUUCCGUGCCCGCCCUGUAACAGAGGGCGGGCGUUCUCUGAUUGGCUAGCUGCAUUGGCUGGCAGCUUACCAGUGCUCCCUGGCGGCCAUUCCGGAGGGAACACUUGGUAAGCUGACAGCCUUUGUUUGUGCCUGCAUCCUCCCACUUACACUGUUCUCAGUGCUCUCUGCCCACAGUUGGUUUUCUGUUAAUCCCUGCACAGGGUCACUAGGGGCAUUUUUUGCUCUCACAUUGGUGCCAGUCUGGUACAAAUUUCAUUGUGUCACUGGUAUACCCUGCCUUUUAAGUGUCACUGCUCCCACACCCCAGGUGUCUUUGGUUACAACCUAUCUGUCAUGCAACACCUUAGGGACCACGGGGUUGCCACCCCCACUGAUAUCAAUAAGGACACCAUUCAUCACGUGCCACAGAUAACACGUCCAUGCUCGCCACUGCGAGAAGACGUGGCAUCCAUGGAUCAGUUAAACUCGGAGGAGUUUCACUCACUCUUGGAUGCAACCAUGACCAAGUCGGUCACCCAAGCUAUAGUCACGGCUAUGGGGGCGAUGUCUGAGACCCUGACACAGUCCAUUAGUAAUGCCAUACUGGCGUCUAACAGCCAUCCCGGCGGACCCCGCUCCAUGGCCCAGCCUGACAAUCCUGUGCCCCUCGGCGGCCGUAAGGCUACGCAGAAGACCCACCAUAUGGGCAAAAACACCUCCAAAAACAGCACGACGGACAGGAUACGCCCUGUCACUACUGAGGACGUGGGGCCCCCACGCAAAAGAGCCACCCACCGGGCAAAAGCGGUGAGGACGUGGAAAUGGGCAAAAGCCCAAACAGAGACAUCCGACUCUGGUUCGGACAUAGAGGAGGUAAUGAGUGAGUCAGAGGAACUCGGCUCGUUGGAAUCGGGGAACUCUUCCCCUGAGCGCAGCCUGGCAGUCAUACCAGCUAAGGGAAAAGUGCACGCGGAUGAUUCCAUCAUCCUAGACCCCCAGGGCGAGCCCCUAUUCAACCCUGACGACCUGCAGCACCCCAGGUCCACAGACUGGUUCCCAGCUGACCAUGUGGCCCAGUAUAUUGCGGCCAGAAUAAGGAAGCCCCUGGAUAAAACGACCAGGAAUAAGUUAAGGGCAGAGUGCCCACGCCCGACGGUCCCUGAUAUGGCGUGCGCCACGCCAGAGGUGGACCCCAAGAUUGCCCAGUUCCUGGGUAAGGCUGGCUGGAAAGCCAAAAAAGGGCUAGACUACUCCCUGCGCCACUGCCAGGAUAAGGUGCUCGACUCCUUGGGCCCUAGCGCAAAGAUCUUCGACUUGGUCGAAGAGACAAUCUCAGGUGGCGCACCACUAGACCCCUUAGUGAUCCGAGAGUGGGCACAACGCUCUAUCUGCCUCAUCGGCAACUCAAAUGCCGCACUUAGUACCGAGAGACGGAAGGCAAUUCUCAUGAAAAUAGACCCCAAGCUGGUCAACAUGGCCAUAACCGAGCCUGGACCCCAGGCAAAAGGCCUCCUGUUCGGAGACAAUUUUGUGAAGGAGCUGGGCACCUACGUGAGCACAUUUACAGCCCUGGAUAAGGCACAAACAAACCUAAAACGGGUGUUCUCCCCGAAGGUUUUUGGAGGGGCUGGCAGGUACAGGGGCCGCCUGUCCAGCCGCCCAUCACGGAGCUCCCACCGGGGCUACCGGGGCCCCACGACACCAAGAGUCCCACAGACGGAGACCAGAACCCCCGCACCUUUCUUCCCGGUCAGGGGCAGAUCAUGGCAGCCCAGAGGUCACAGGGGUGCCACAUACGGCCGACGACCUUAUGGUAAGUGCCUUUCCCUUUUCCCUCUCUCAUACCUCACACAUAGGGGGCAGACUUUCCAAAUUUAUCGGGGCAUGGCACAGACUCACGUCCGAUGCCUGGAUUCUCGACACAGUAGCGGGGUACCAUAUAGAAUUCGUCACACACCCAAUCCAAUCCUCAAUGCCACGGUGGAUGGUGUUCGCACCUCAGGACAGGGAACUGGUGUCGAAAGAAAUCAUAGCACUGGCGGAGAAAGGUGCGAUCUAUCAGGUCGCGCCCCACUCCCCAGGGUUCGUGAGCAAUCUGUUCCUGGUCCCCAAGAAAGGCGGUGGGGUAAGACCAGUGAUCAACCUACGCCCACUCAAUACAUUUGUACGAUAUCAUCACUUCAAAAUGGAAGGGAUUCAUUGCCUGCGAGAUCUGCUCAGGCUGGGGGAUUGGAUGGUCAAAUUAGACCUCCAAGAUGCAUAUCUCACCAUCCCCAUUGCAAAGGAGUGUCAGCACCUCCUACAAUUCAGUUGGGACUCCCAGACAUGGAGGUUUCAGUGCCUUCCGUUUGGCCUAUCGUCAGCACCAUGGUGCUUUACGAAACUGCUGAAGCCAGUGGUUGCGUUGCUGCGCAGCAGGGGCGUCCGCAUGAUAAUAUAUCUGGACGAUAUGCUGAUCAUGGCCCAAGACACCCUGCUGCUACAACAACACUUAGAUUGGACGGUAACUUUACUACAGAACCUGGGAUUCCUAAUUAAUUGGGAGAAGUUGGUACUAACCCCCUCCCAGUCCUUAGAAUUCCUAGGGUUCGAAAUAGGGGCGGUCUUAGGAACCCUAAGCCUGCCACCCACAAAGAUGAAAAUCAUCAAGAAGGAGAUCCGCAGAACAUUGGCUCGACCAACACUUACGGUCAGGCAACUAGCCAGGAUAAUUGGACUCCUUUCCGCUUCCAUACAAGCGAUCUUCCCGGGGCCUCUACACUACAGGGCCCUACAGCGACUAAAAGCCGCACAACUGCGCUCAGGACACUCCUACUCAGACUCCGUGCCACUCGAUAACACAGCCAAGGAGGAGCUCAGGUGGUGGCUGCAGCACAUGGAAGCGUGGAACGGCAGAGCGAUCUUCAGCAACAACCCAGAUUGCGUAAUAGAAUCAGAUGCCAGCACACGGGGCUGGGGAGCGCGCUGUGGACAUACCUCCACGGGCGGAAAAUGGUCCCAAGCAGAAAGGACACUACAUAUCAACUGCCUGGAAUUAAUGGCGGGCUCGUUCGCACUGAAGAGCCUCCUGGGUCCCGCAACACAUUGCUCCAUCAUCCUGAGAAUGGACAACGUCUCAGCCGUCCAGUACAUCAACCGCCUCGGUGGCACCAAGUCCAAAAUUUUAGCAGACUUAGCCACAGAAUUUUGGCAGUUUUGCUUAGAACGCAGCAUCACAGUACGAGCCGAAUACAUCCCGGGACUUUCGAACACCGUAGCAGAUUGGAACUCCAGACAUCUGCGGGAUACCAGCGAUUGGCGCCUGAACCGAGAGACGUUCCUACGAUUGCACACUCUAUGGGGUCCGAUGUAUAUAGACCUGUUUGCGUCACGGUUGAAUACACAACUCCCGGAAUUCUUCAGCUGGAGACCGGACCCAGACGUGUUGGCUACGGACGCAUUCCUACAACCAUGGCCGAACAAACGAUUAUACGCAUUCCCACCGUUCGCCCUACUGGCACGAACGCUAGUGCACCUCGACCGCACACGGACGUCCCUAGUCCUCAUAGCUCCAUUCUGGACUGCACAGCCUUGGUUCCCUUUACUCAUGGAAAUGUCCAUAGAUCUCCCCAGAAUGCUGCCCGAGGACCCACAUCUCCUCUCAGACCCAGAUGGGAACCCUCACCCUCUGAUGGCGCAGGGACAACUCAGGUUGUUAGCGUGGCUCCGUUCCGGGGUCCCUGGGUCGUGCCAAACAUUCCGCAAACAACUCUCGAACUCCUGGCGGGAGCCUGGGCUCCGGGAACACGACGAUCCUACUCUAAAGCUUGGAACAUCUGGAGUGGUUGGUGCAUGGAACAACACGUGGAUCCCGUAUGUGCCCCUGUAAACCACCUGUUGUGUUUCAUUACACACCUAUUCGACCAAGGACUGGCAUACCGGACCAUCAAUGUAUACAGAUCAGCGAUCUCGGCGGGACACAAGGGUAUAGAAGGAUUUCCAGCAGGCAAGCAUCUGUUGGUAUGCAAGCUCUUACGCGGUAUUCGAUUGGCAAGACCACCGCGACCCCGAUAUAGUACAGUAUGGGACGUGAAUGUGGUCUUAAAUCUUUUGGAACUAUGGCCACAGAACUCUGACCUCACAUUGAAACAACUGUCAGCGUAACUGGCCAUGCUCUUAUGCCUAAUAUCCUGCAAAAGAGUCUCAGAUGUCCGGGCAUUAGACGUCGACGCACGCACGUUCACUCCAACGGGAGUUACUUUCAACAUUUCCAGGCGGACAAAAUCAGCGACAACAUCAGUGUCAUAUCCAGCAUUCCCGCACAACAAAAACCUGUGCCCGAUUGCCUGCCUCAAGGAAUACGAAACACGGACACAGGCAUUUCGAAACUCUGGACAACAUGAACUAUUUCUGGCCGUCAAUUCACCACACCAGCCAGUAUCUUCCGUAACAUUAGCCCGAUGGGUGAAAUGGAUAAUGGCCUCUGCAAACAUAGAUACUUCGGUAUACGGGGCACACUCCACUAGAGGAGCUAUGGCAUCUAAAGUAUUCAACUUGGGAUGCAGACUGGAAGAUUUGUUACGGACGGCAGAUUGGUCUCAUGAAUCCACCUUUAAGGAAUAUUAUUUUCACCCUACAGACCACGUAGCAUCAAGAGUCAUUGCACAGCUUUGAACUAGCAUAAUAUGAGCCUCCGUGUCCUUUAAUAAAAUUACCAGAUUUUACUAAUUACAUGACGUAAAGUCAUGAUUUUAUAAAGGACACGGAGGCGAAUAUUGGCCCACCCAGUAAGUAUAUCAGGCAUAUAUCAGCGAAAGUAGAGUGACAUGCCCACCCAAUAAACAAUAAAAUAAGGGUCAUUGUGGUGUCUUAUUUCGUCUCGAUUUAAUUCGUUUUUCUUUAAGACAACUGUACUAGUGAGUCUGUAGUACAUCAGGCAUAUGCUAAGAUUUUGUCACUAACGUGUGGCAAACAGUUCCUCAGACCACAUUUUACCAUAUUUUUCUCUAUCCCAUUACAGCUUAAUUCGCCAUACGCGACACCCUGGAUGACCAGUUGUCACCGCAGUUUACGCGUACAAGUUAUUACAAGUUCGGGAUAUGGGACAGUUCGACACAACGGAUGAAGUGUUCCAGUGUCUCCUCAAGUUAUAAUGAUACAGCUUCGGCAUGACCAAAGAAAGAGGAAGAGGAAAGGUCACAUGAAUAGUUAUAGAUAGAGGGACUGUUCCUAUUGGUUAAGGGUUGGGUUAACCCUUGGAGAACCUGUUAAACUUUUUUUCUAUGAAUGUUUAUACCUUCUCUUUGCUGCUGAGGUAUAAUAAAGAAAGAGAUAAGCAUAAUAUUCGCCUCCGUGUCCUUUAUAAAAUCAUGACUUUACGUCAUGUAAUUAGUAAAAUCUGG